CAGCAGCCGCGGGAAUACGAAGGGUGCAAGCGUUAAUCGGAAUUACUGGGCGUAAAGCGUGCGUAGGCGGUUUGUUAAGUCUGCUGUGAAAUCCCCGGGCUUAACCUGGGAACUGCAUUUGUGACUGUAUAGCUAGAGUACGGUAGAGGGGGAUGGAAUUCCGCGUGUAGCAGUGAAAUGCGUAGAUAUGCGGAGGAACACCGAUGGCGAAGGCAAUCCCCUGGACCUGUACCGACGCUCAUGCACGAAAGCGUGGGGAGCAAACAGGAUUAGAUACCCCUGUAGUCCCUGUCUCUUAUAC
rnacentral:rRNA from 1 species